rnacentral:misc_RNA from 1 species
AAGCUUUCCAAAUUUGUUAGGCCUGGAAAGUAGCAGAAUCAGACAAAUUUGUAAUGAAGGAACAUGAACAUCAAUAAUUUUCACCUAUGACACAAAGUGUGCAGAUUUUUUCUUUUAUGCAAAUCCAGCCAGUUGCAGUUAAUAGGAAUUCAGUGAGAACUCAGCUGAAAGAAGCCAAGAUGUGCAUUGAAUAGCUUCUAGGAUGGGUAAAAGAAAAUUUGCCCUUUUAUUGUCAUUCAAAGUAUGCUAGACAUUGUGUGUGCUGUGUCAUGGUCCUAGAUUUGACGUAAACAUUCAGACCAUGUGGCAUCUAAAUUUGGGACAGCCGAACUAAUAAAGCCAUAUCAUACCAGCUUUGACUUUUACACAGAUUUCACAAACUCAGGCCAACACAACAUCUCUUGGAACAUAAUGUAAACCUUACAUCAAGUCUAACCAAGCACCAGACUCUUCAAGUAUCGCCAAACCAACCCACAAAGAAAAAUAAUACUAUUAAAUGGCCAACAUUGUAAUGGAUUCAGUCAAUGCAACCAACAUGUUCAGACGCUGCUGGAAUAUUUGAAAAAUAUUAGAAAUCAAGACACAGAGAGAAUACCUUUUAG